rnacentral:misc_RNA from 1 species
UGCUGGGAUUGAUACCAACUUUACAGUCACAUCAAAGGCAAACGAUGAGGAUGGAGAUUUUGCUGAGCUUUAUGUGUUCAAAUGGACAACUCUCCUUAUUCCUCCUACAGCAAUCCUUAUCGUGAAUCUGGUAGGAAUUGUGGCAGGUGUUUCGUAUGCCAUAAACAGUGGAUAUCAAUCAUGGGGUCCUCUAUUCGGGAAGUUGUUCUUUGCCAUUUGGGUCAUUGUCCACUUGUACCCUUUCCUCAAAGGUUUGUUGGGACGUCAGAAUCGUACUCCUACCAUUGUCAUUGUCUGGGCUGUUCUCCUUGCAUCCAUAUUCUCAUUGCUUUGGGUGCGUAUCGACCCCUUCACAUCAGACGCGUCAAAGACUGCUGCAAGAGGUCAAUGUGGUAUCAACUGUUAGUGAGAAGUUUAUUUAUUUUAAGGUAAGAUGUUUGCUUAUCCAUUCUCAUGUUGUAUAUAAGAAAACUAUGCCGGUUCGGUUAAGUCCUGUAGUCAUUUUGUACCAAUGUUGUAAGUCGGAAGGAGUGUGAUGCAUGAAAGACAUCAAAACUCAUGGAUUUACGCCUUUUUGUUGUAUACCUUUUGCCCUAUCUCACAUGUUCAUGCAAAAACUGUGACUUAUGAUGUGAAGAAUUUUAAAUUUAAUUUUGUUAUCUUAUCGUUGGUGCAGA